AGAGUUUGAUCCUGGCUCAGGACGAACGCUGGCGGCAUGCCUAACACAUGCAAGUCGAACGGAGUAAGAGAGAAGCUUGCUUAGCUCUUACUUAGUGGCGGACGGGUGAGUAACGCGUGAGUAACCUGCCUUUCAGAGGGGGAUAACGUUCUGAAAAGAACGCUAAUACCGCAUGAUAUAUUGGGGUCGCAUGGCCUUGGUAUCAAAGGAGCAAUCCGCUGAAAGAUGGACUCGCGUCCGAUUAGCCAGUUGGCGGGGUAAAGGCCCACCAAAGCGACGAUCGGUAGCCGGGUUGAGAGACUGAACGGCCACAUUGGGACUGAGACACGGCCCAGACUCCUACGGGAGGCAGCAGUGGGGCAUAUUGCACAAUGGAGGAAACUCUGAUGCAGCAAUGCCGCGUGAGGGAAGACGGUCUUCGGAUUGUAAACCUCUGUCCUUGGUGAAGAUAAUGACGGUAGCCAAGGAGGAAGU
rnacentral:rRNA from 1 species